UUAGAUGUCCGGGGCCGCACGCGCACUACACUGAAGGAAUCAGCGUGUGCUUUCCCGGUCCGCUAGGACUGGGUAACCCGUUGAACCUCCUUCGUGAUAGGGAUAGGGGCUUGUAAUUGUUCCCCUUGAACGAGGAAUACCCAGUAAGCGCGAGUCAUAACCUCGUGUUGAUUAAGUCCCUGCCCUUUGUGCACACCGCCCGUCGCUACCUCCGAUUGAAUGAUUUAGUGAGGUCUUCGGACUGGCGCUCGGAACGGUCUCGUGGCCGGGCCGACGUGCCGGAAAGAUGACCGAACUUGAUCAUUUAGAGGAAGUAAAAGUCGUAACAAGGUUUUC
rnacentral:rRNA from 1 species